UACGGAGGAUGCAAGCGUUAUCCGGAAUGAUUGGGCGUAAAGCGUCCGCAGGUGGCAAUGUAAGUCCGCUGUCAAAGCGUCUGGCUCAACCAGAUAAAGGCAGUGGAAACUACAUAGCUAGAGUAAGGUAAGGGUAGAGGGAAUUCCUGGUGUAGCGGUGAAAUGCGUAGAUAUCAGGAAGAACACCGGUGGCGAAAGCGCUCUGCUAGGCCGCAACUGACACUGAGGGACGAAAGCUAGGGGAGCGAAUGGG
rnacentral:rRNA from 1 species